UAUGCUUUUUCUAUAGAUGGUUUAUUAAAUGACUUGCAAUGAAAUCGAACACAGGACUCUUCUUUAACCCCUUCAGGAACCUGAUGAAACGCCUGGUCUAACAGAAGGAGGCAGAGAAAGUUAUGAAGAGGGGAUCCUGAAGAAUUUGCUCCUGGGCCGUGAAGAUGGGAAGCUGAGUCAGAGUGCAGUUCUUCACCCAAUCCCACAGCCACACAUGCCUGCUCACUCACGGGAUCUUCCCACUCUCCUUGGGAAGGCUUCCGAGCUGCUUCCUCAGGAUGUCCUGUGAUCGCAGCCUGACCUGUCAAAGCCAUGCGAAUGCCAUCUGUUCAGUUAUAUAACUUGAGAUCUGGGAAGGAUUCUCAACGUAGGAUUUGCUGCCCAAAUCGAAUCAUUUUCAGAAAGGAGAUUAAACAUUCUUUGCUGGGAAAAGGAGAAAUAACCAGACAAAUCAUCAUUUCCCUGAGUAUAAAGAAACCUUUGUCCAAAAUACACAAAUGAAAAUGACAAAUUUGCUUCACUAAUAUUUGCUUGCAUUAAAAAUAUACACAGGACUAUGGAUCAAUAUCUUAAGUGCAAAAUAAAUUCUUAAUUGGGAACAUGGAAUUAUUAAUUUAACAAUCUUAAUUUUGUUUAGAUCAUUAGCCUGCAGUAUAAUGCCCCAAGCAGAAUUUGGGGUGAGGGGCUUGGUGGGGGAAGAGGAAGUGCUCAUUACUACAGACUUGACAAGAUUAUUAACACUACAGAAUGAUUUUUCUUUCAUGGGAGGGGAAGAUAUCUGGACCACCAGCAGUCAGACAGAAACCCUGACUUGUGAUUUUAACAUUACCUUCUGUGACCCAUGGUCACCUUGUAUGACCAAAGAAAACCAUUUAUGAAAUAGCUGCCUGGAGUUAAGGAUUUAAAUGGUAACUUUGUAGACUAGGUUUUCUCUCGUCAUCUAAUUUACUCGCCUUAACGCUUGUUUCUUUGCCCUUAUUCUUACUAGCCCUCGAGUAUAAUAUCCUGAGAAUUUAUGUUGAACAGCACUAAUUUUUUCACAUGGAGCUAGCACAUGUUUAUGACUAGUACAAGUUUAUGACUACAAAAAACAGAGAUUUUGUCAUCUUAAACUGAAUUUACUGGGAAUAAAAUCAGUCAAUACAGAAAAGUAUAACAAAGGAAAUAAAAAUCACCACAACUCCUACUACCCGAAGAUUAUAUGGUUAAGGUGUUU